rnacentral:lncRNA from 1 species
CUCUUUUCCCCAGGCCUCAAGAGUGUGAUGGCAAAGUAACACCAUUAAUGGGAGGACUCAGUGUUGGAACAGCAGAAACUGAGAUAUUUUAGCACAUUUUUAUAGGAUCUAAUGUGAUUUUCACAGGUGGUAUCCAUUAGGUGAAUCGAAGAAAUGAUACCUCUGAUGCUUCAAGGAUUGAGAGCUACAUUCAGGAUAAACGCUCUGCCUGCCAGGAAAAUAAAAUCUAAGCUUAAAGAGCUCAACACUAUUCAGCAUGUCAGGUUUGAAUUCAAUUUCUUCAAAAUUGAUGAAUACCAGAGUUUCCGUCAAGAGCAUUAA